ACAGGCUGCGGGGCGGAGCCACGUGAGGAGGGGUCUCCUCCACAGCGUGUCUCUCCCCCCACCUUCCUGCCUGCCCCAUUGGGGUGACUUUAAGUCCCGGAACUGUGCCCGGAAGGGAGUCUCAGCUAGUCCAGUAACAGCCGCGUGGGAUGGCAGCUCCCGACGUAACCCAGGGCUACCUAACCCUUAGCGAGCGCUUAAUGUGUGCAGAACACUAGCGUUUUACCUUUAGUAAUUCGUUUAAUCCUCCCAACAGUCUGUGAGGUGCGUCCUUUAUCGUCAUCUUUUUAAAUGACAGAACUAAGGCUCAGAGAGGUUCAGUAACUCGCCCAAUGACCCACAGCUAGUAAAUGGUGGGAUUCCAGCCCAAGCAGACAGCUUUCGGAGCCCGCACCAUGCUGCCCUAAUUAAUGCCCACUGGAAGAAAAUAAGCCAAACUCUCCAGUCUUGAUGUGAGCCCAGAAGAGAGGUGCCUCCAAGGGGUAUUUCACAGCUACCCAAGGACAGACACCCACACACUUACAGUGACACACACACUCACUGUUGUCAGAGCCCAUCCUCCCACCACUACCAUCGGGGGUUCGUGGCAUCACAAAUCCUCAACUGAUGCACUUGGUUCCAGUUUGAAAGUGGAGCCAGCCAGGUGUGGGGGCUGGGGGCGGAGGGUGAGAGUAGACUGAAGGAAGGUGAAGUUUCUCUACUUUUGGUCUGGACACCCUCCCCAGUUACUUACUUUGCUUCUGUCACUUCUCCGGGCUCACCCAGAAUGCAGGUUGUUAAGAGCACAGGCUCUUUAUAUCCGAACAACCUGGGUUUGUGCCUGGGUUGUUUACCACUUACUUGCUGUUGGCCUUGGGCAAAUUGGUUGACCUCUCUGAGCCUCGGGUAGAAUACCCACCUCAAAAAGGUUGUUGGAGGAUUAACUGAGGUGAAGUGUAAGCCGCUUAGCCCGGCACAGACAACACGUACACAACAGUGGUAAUAAUUACUGUUCCUCCGUCACAGGCCUGAAGUGGAAACGGCUGAACGCCCACUCGAAAAAAUGUCUCACCAGCUGGGCCAGGUGGCAGGGAGGCAGUGGCUCCUGGCCCUCCUCUCAGCUUCUGGGUGGUUCUCACCUCCCUCCCUGCACCCACCAGGCCUUCUUGCUAGUUUAGCUGGUUCUGGAAGGCUGGCUGCUCUCCAACCCCAAGAAGACACACACAGUACAACAGAGGGGAUGCAGACUAGCCCUCAGGAAGGAUUUUCAGCCUGUCUGGGAGAAGAGGGGAGUAAGCUGCGGGUUUCUCGUUAUCUGGAAGGCUUAGGCUUUGGAGGUUCCACCUUGCUGAGUCCUGGGCAACACGGCUUUGGGCAGGGCCUGUGAAGCUUCAGAGGCUUUGGAAAUAAUCUGUCUUCAGAGCAGAGCAUGGCACUCACUAACAUGGUGGGCUGGUGACCAACGCAACCCCCGCUGGGACUCGGAUGGCCUGGGUUCCAGUGUUAGCUCUGCCCCUUUCUAUGCCUCUCUGGCCUCAAGAAACCAUCAGUCAAGUGGGGAUGAUAACCUUGGCCUGCCCACCUCUGUUGUGAAGUCAGAGUGGAGAUCUGUCGGCAGGAUCUCCCAGCAGUAGGGAAAAGUACCAGGGGCUCCCUUUCUCUGCGUGUUUGGGACAUCCACUGUCCCAGAGAUGUGUGUCCCAACGGAGACCGAGGUGGUUAUCUCUACUUUGACAGACUCUGUUUAGAGGAGGUUUGUGUGGAGGCUCAGACUCAUGAGAGCCUCUUGACUGCGGGCCCCUCCCUGUCUUCAUCAAGGUCAGAGGCAAAUGUCAGAGAUCACCUAGUUCAACUCCCGCUGGCCCGGUGCUCCGGCACCUUUCCUAGAAGUAGCCACAGUCUCUGCUCAGAAAUGGGGAGCCCACCUUCUUCUGAAGCUGCCUCUGCUGAGAAAGGGCUUCCUUAUAUUGAGUCCAUAUAAGCCUCCCUGUCUGUAACCCCCCUCUCCUGCCACCCCACCACAGGGUCUCUGUGUGCCGAAGGGAGCCUUAGAGAAUAUUUGCCUGGGUCCCCCUGCUCCAGGGCACUCCCACAGAGAUCGGAAGACUCAGGUUGUACACCCUGAUCUCCCCCACCCCCCAAAACCCUAGUGACCGGGAGAGGGUAAAUAAAAGAGAGAAACAAAAGGGAGAGAGAACAUCUUGGUUCUAUCCCCUCCACAUCGGUCUACCUUUAGAGAAGGCUCUGUACUCAGCUGUAGAAGGCACUGGAAGGCCUUCACUUUCUGAACACAAACCUGAGCAUUUCACUUCCCUUCUUAAAACCCGCCAGCACCUCCCCAGUGCCAGCCACCCCACCCUUGCCACACUGAACUCUUCGUUUCACACCUCUGGCUCUUGUCCUGUAAUGUCUCACAGCCCUUUUCCCUUGGCAAACUCCUAUGUUUCUCCAGACCCCAGUUCAAAAUAAUAACUCCCUUAAAAAAUAAAAAUAAAUGAAAAAAUAAAUAAGAAAGAGAAGAAACAGGAAAAAAAAAAACCACCUCGUUUAUGAACCUCUCCCUGGCACCCUCCCCAGCUCCCUAUUCCCCAAGGCAGAGAUGAUACCAUUACAAGUGGCUUUUUGUCUGGUCUCAGCUUAAGUCAGAAGGAGGACUGAGUUCCUGAGCGUGCGCGCGCGCGCGCUUGUGUGUGUGUGUGUGUGUGUGUGUGUGUGUGUGAUUGCCCAGAAUGUGUAUCCAAACCCCCUCCUCCAGACCCUGAUCCAUUCAUUGGAUGAUUUUUUUUUUAGCAUCUACUAUGAGUCAGGUGCUCUGGAGCUAGGAUCUAGAGACAGAGUGAAUGAAACAGACCAGGAUCCUACUGUCCACUGGUGCAGAUGCCUUCCUCCCACGUCACAAGGAGAAGAGAGGCUGUCAGUUGACAUACUUGCUGGACAGCAAGAAGGAGGAGUGGCUGGGAAGAGUUGGGAUCCUUUGCCGGUAAAAAGAAAGGUCAUCAGGAGGGGCUGAGGCUCAGACACCACAGGAAACCGAAGCCCGCUGAGAAAGCAGAAGGAGGUGUGGCAUCCAGCUGUUCUUAGAUGCAGAUCCGGAAAGUACAUUCAUCCUGGCUAGACAGAGAAGGUCAUCUCCUCCAUGGAGAAGACUAAGAUUGCUUCAGAGAAUCAGGGCCAAUCCCUCUCCUCAGAAAAGAGGACAAGGAAGGAGCAAAGAACAGUGGCAAGCCCUACUGCUCAAAGGGACAUUUCCAAUUUGUCUCUUCCCUCUUCCGGUCUAUCCUACUCCCCAGCUUAAGAAAAAUAAACAUCCCCGAGGUGAA